GAUGAAGAACGUAGCGAAAUGCGAUACGUAAUGUGAAUUGCAGAAUUCAGUGAAUCAUCGAAUCUUUGAACGCAUAUUGCGCUCUCUGGUAUUCCGGAGAGCAUGCUUGUUUGAGUAUCAGUAAACACCUCAACUCCCUUUUCUUUUUUGAAAUUGGAGCUGGACUUGAGUGAUCCCAACGCUUUCUUCCAAGAAAGUGGCGGGUUGCUUGAAAUGCAGGUGCAGCUGAACUUUUCUCUGAGCUAUAAGCAUAUCUAUUUAGUCUGCCUAAAAAACAGAUUAUUACCUUUGCUGCAGCUAACAUAAAGGAGACUAGUUCUUGUGCUGACUGAUGCAGGAUUCACAGAGACAGCUUCGGCUGACUUUGUAAACUCGAUCUCAAAUCAAGUAAGACCACCCGCUGAACUUAAGCAUAUCAAUAAGCGGAUGA
rnacentral:misc_RNA from 1 species